UCUGCACCCAAACCCAAAGGCCCCCCCUCCCCGUGGGGGGGUUUUGUCUGGCGUGCGAACAGGAAGCUGAACCCUGUCGCGGUCCCGUCGCUGCUGUGCGGCGGGACGUGAAGCAGGGGUCGACACAC